AGCGUAGACGGACUGGCAAGUCUGAUGUGAAAGGCGGGGGCUCAACCCCUGGACUGCAUUGGAAACUGUUAGUCUUGAGUGCCGGAGAGGUAAGCGGAAUUCCUAGUGUAGCGGUGAAAUGCGUAGAUAUUAGGAGGAACACCAGUGGCGAAAGCGGCUUUCUGGACGACAACUGACGCUGAGGCGCGAAAGCCAGGGAGCAAACG
rnacentral:rRNA from 1 species